AAGCGCUAUUGUGUCAGACUCAUCUCUCGCUGAAGAGGAUCCAGCGACAUCAAGAGAUUACGGAAAAUCACGCGAGAUAACUGGCUUGCACCUUGUUGGGUUUUUUCAAGGGCAGAGGGGAGAUUCCUGGCGUGCAUCUACUUAAUUUGAAGAAGGAUGACACUGCUGAGGUCAGACGAGAGUACAUCCUCAAAGGUCUGUGUGUACCUAAAUGAAGAUCCAGAGAAGCUGGUGAGGGAGUACAUGGACGUUGAUGAAUGAAAUGGCCAAAGCCGAGACUGUCCUCGGAAUCGUCAUUUGAGCAGAGGGUGCAGAGGCUGCCGAUGUGCAUCUGGAUGUUGGGAUUGUCCUGGAGGGGGUGGAAGUUAUGAACAGCUUGGACAGUGUAUCUUCUGCAAUAGUGAUGCUGCUGGGACUAAUCUACGCACUAAACUUGAGGUACCCUCAAGUUUAGUGCGUUCAGCACUCAACUUGCUCAGUAACUCGAGCAUACCUUUGAAGUAAUACAGAAAAUAAUAAUGAAAUUGGAUGGAAAGAACUUAUCAAAGAAAGCACAAGUUCUCAAUAUGAAACUCGCCGCUAAGUUGAGUAAAGUUUCAUAUGGAAAAAGAGUGUUUAAAGUCUGCAGUAGAAAAGAUUUAUAUUGUUACAGUUCUCUAAAUUGAGCAACUAUACUGACAUGUUUUAUGUUGUAAAGAAUUGGCUGGGAAAUGAAACUGUAACCUUUUUGUAGUUGUUUUUUUAUUUCAAUGUCCAACUCAGCUGUGUUUUGUGCUGUGUAAAAAAAACUAUGUAUAACAAUUCUGAAAAUACAAUUGUGUUGUACCUUUUCUAAUUGUUGAGUGUUCUUCCUACACUUUCACCUAGUGCUAUCUUAAAAUGCUUGAUUAACACUUGAAAAUAUGUCUUUGAAUUAACGUCAUGAAAUAAUGGAAAGGAUUUCCACAUGAUUAACUAGCUGUC